rnacentral:rRNA from 1 species
GUACUGAAGAUUUAUCGGAUGUACAUCUUAGCGGCGGACGGGUGAGUAACGCGUGGGCAACCUGCCUUCCACUGGGGGAUAACACAGGGAAACCUGUGCUAAUACCGCAUGACAUCACAUAGGGCAUCCUGUGUGAUCAAAGGAGUGAUCCGGUGGAAGAUGGGCCCGCGUCCGAUUAGCUAGUUGGUGAGGUAACGGCUCACCAAGGCGACGAUCGGUAGCCGGACUGAGAGGUUGGCCGGCCACAUUGGGACUGAGACACGGCCCAGACUCCUACGGGAGGCAGCAGUGGGGAAUAUUGCGCAAUGGGGGGAACCCUGACGCAGCGACGCCGCGUGAAGGAAGAAGGCCUUCGGGUUGUAAACUUCUUUGAUGAGGGACGAAGGAAGUGACGGUACCUCAAAAACAAGCCACGGCUAACUACGUGCCAGCAGCCGCGGUAAUACGUAGGUGGCGAGCGUUGUCCGGAAUUACUGGGUGUAAAGGGCGUGUAGGCGGGGAUGCAAGUCAGAUGUGAAAUACCGCGGCUUAACCGCGGGGCUGCAUCUGAAACUGUGUCUCUUGAGUGUCGGAGAGGAAAGCGGAAUUCCCAGUGUAGCGGUGAAAUGCGUAGAGAUUGGGAGGAACACCGGUGGCGAAGGCGGCUUUCUGGACGACAACUGACGCUGAGGCGCGAAAGCGUGGGGAGCAAACAGGAUUAGACACCCUGGUAGUCCACGCCGUAAACGAUGGAUACUAGG